UCCUUUGCAGACGACUUAAA
rnacentral:snRNA from 1 species